UGGUACCGUCGAGAAAUGUCGCCGGUCGUAUCAUACAUCGUUUCCAAAUCGAGAAACGCCGUAUGGUAUGGCCGACGACGUUUCUCGGCCGUACCA
rnacentral:pre_miRNA from 1 species